rnacentral:rRNA from 1 species
GACGAACGCUGGCGGCGUGCUUAACACAUGCAAGUCGAACGGAAAGGCCCUGCUUUUGUGGGGUGCUCGAGUGGCGAACGGGUGAGUAACACGUGAGUAACCUGCCCUUGACUUUGGGAUAACUUCAGGAAACUGGGGCUAAUACCGGAUAGGAGCUCCUGCUGCAUGGUGGGGGUUGGAAAGUUUCGGCGGUUGGGGAUGGACUCGCGGCUUAUCAGCUUGUUGGUGGGGUAGUGGCUUACCAAGGCUUUGACGGGUAGGCGGCCUGAGAGGGUGACCGGCCACAUUGGGACUGAGAUACGGCCCAGACUCCUACGGGAGGCAGCAGUGGGGAACAUGGCACAAUGGGCGGAAGCCUGAUGCAGCAACGCCGCGUGCGGGAUGACGGCCUUCGGGUUGUAAACCGCUGUCGCCUGUGACGAAGCGUGAGUGACGGUAAUGGGUAAAGAAGCACCGGCUAACUACGUG